UGUUUUUUGAAUAUAUAAAAAAUAUCACCUGCCCAAUGAAAUUUUAAUGGCCACGGUAUUUUAACUGUGCAAAGGUAGCGUAAUCAUUUGCUUUGUAAAUUAGAGCUUGUAUGAAUGGUAAGUUGAAAUAAUACUGUCUUUUAUUUAUUAAUUUAAUUUAUCUUUUCAGUGAAGAGACUGAAAUAUUUUUAUAAGACGAGAAGACCCUAGGAGUUUUGUGUAUUAAUUAUUUUAAUAUAAUAGUAUAUUUAAUUGGGGCAAUUAAAGAAUAUAACUUCUUUAAAAUAGAAUAUAAUUAUAUUUGAUCCAUCAUUGAUGAAUAAAAGUUAAAGUUACCCUAGGGAUAACAGCAUAAUCUUUUUUAAGAGUACAUAUCGACAAAAUGGGUUGUGACCUCGAUGUUGGAUUAAGAUAAUUAUUAGGUGUAGAAGCCAAAUUAAUAAGUCUGUUCGACUUUUAAAUUCUUACA
rnacentral:rRNA from 1 species